rnacentral:tRNA from 1 species
CAGAGGGUAGUUUAAUGAUUAGAAUUUUCGUUUUGGGGACGAAUGGUAGAAGUUUAAAUCUUUUCUCUCUGA